rnacentral:sRNA from 1 species
CGCCAAAGCUGUGAAGAAUUCAGCUGAGUCAGAAGGCAUGAGGCGGGCUCACAUUAAAGAUGCUGUUGCCCUCUGUGAACUCUUUAACUGGCUGGAGAAAGAGGUUCCCAAAGGUGGUGUGACAGAGAUCUCAGCUGCUGACAAAGCUGAGGAGUUUCGCAGGCAACAGGCAGACUUUGUGGACCUGAGCUUCCCAACAAUUUCCAGUACGGGACCCAACGGCGCCAUCAUUCACUACGCGCCAGUCCCUGAGACGAAUAGGACCUUGUCCCUGGAUGAGGUGUACCUUAUUGACUCGGGUGCUCAAUACAAGAACUGCGAACUAUUUGCAAAGAUGGCUGUGCUAUUUUACAUGCCCACCAGCAUUGUAUGGGGCUUCUCACUUGUCCACAUGCUUGCCUGUGUCAUAUUUGACUUAAAGCUUAUUUUGACGGGAAACCAAUUUGUCCUUUUUUUGGAAAGGGAUGGCACCACAGAUGUGACGCGGACAAUGCAUUUUGGGACCCCUACAGCCUACGAGAAGGAAUGCUUCACAUAUGUCCUCAAGGGCCACAUAGCUGUGAGUGCAGCCGUUUUCCCGACUGGAACC